CCCCGGCUACUCCAUUACCAUAGCCCCGCGGGACCCAGAAAAGGAGGAAAAGACCGCCGGCCGGCGGUGCGGCAGUGUGGAGACCUGCCGUAAACCCGUCAGGGUCCCGCUCCCGGACGGGGAGGCCUUCGCGCGGAGGCGCGGGGGUCACGGCCAAGGGAUAUGGC
rnacentral:ncRNA from 1 species